GACGAACGCUGGCGGCGUGCUUAACACAUGCAAGUCGAACGAGAAUCAAUGGAUAGAGACUUCGGUCAAUUGAAGUUGAGGAAAGUGGCGGACGGGUGAGUAACGCGUGAGGAACCUGCCUUUCAGAGGGGGACAACAGUUGGAAACGACUAGCUAAUACCGCAUAACGCAUAGAGGUCGCAUGAUCUUUAUGCCAAAGAUUUAUCGCUGAAAGAUGGCCUCGCGUCUGAUUAGCUAGUUGGUGAGGUAACGGCCCACCAAGGCGACGAUCAGUAGCCGGACUGAGAGGUUGACCGGCCACAUUGGGACUGAGAUACGGCCCAG
rnacentral:rRNA from 1 species